rnacentral:misc_RNA from 1 species
UCAAACUUGGUCAUUUAGAGGAAGUAAAAGUCGUAACAAGGUUUCCGUAGGUGAACCUGCGGAAGGAUCAUCACUGAUUCGCGGGGUCCGUGUUCCUGUGUGUGUGUUGCGCUGUAUAGCGCGCGCACGUACAUAGCGAGCCGCCCCAAACCAAUCUUGUGUGCACCGUUUCACUGGUCAGAGGAUGACGUGUGGUGGUGUGUGUGUUGGUGGGAGAGUGCGCGUGUGUGCAUAUGCAUCACACAGUAAUGUGUGUUGUGUCCGUGCCCGUGCCCGCCGCCCACCGACUGCACGCACCCCGUCGUUCUAAAUUUACACAAUAAUCUCUUUGUUUUAACUUUGUCUAACGUGUGCAUUACUUUAUAACACAUACAACUUUUAACAAUGGAUCUCUUGGCUCUCGCAUCGAUGAAGAACGCAGC